AAGCGUUUCAUAUAUUCCUUUAUACACAGUUUUCACUAAACAUUGUCAGCUGUCAGCAGAAUGACGUUUACGGCAACCCUAUUGCAUUGCUAUUCCGCACUCGUUUUGUUUACAUUUAUUUGUACUGUGGUCAGUUUGCAAAAAAUAUGCGAAAAUAUCAAGGACGACCGAAAAAACAUCCUGGUUUUAAUAAAGAUCCAGAAUUCAGCGUAAACGUCGAGCUCAAGAAAAAAAUAUGAAAUUAAAUUCCCGAGAUGUGGAAGAUUCCGAACAAGCGGAUGUUUUCGAAAGGUCAGAAAUUAUUGAUACAACUGCAUCUGUGUCAAAGGAGAAUCAUUGCCCGGAUGAUUUUUUUACAAAGUCCGGAAGUGAAAAAUUUGACUUUUCUACGCCAGAAGUUACAGCUAAUGUUCCUAAGACAAACCAGGCUUUCCUGAGUUCUGAUCUGGACAUUUCA